CGAAAUUAUGUCUACUUUAUAAUUUGGUCGACAACGAGCAAAUUUUGAACCAUCAGUUAUCAGCGGUCCUGUUAAAAGUAAACGGAACUUCAUUUACAGCCGUCAGGGGUCCUGCUGAAAUACAACAUUCCUUAUUCCUGGAUUCAGACAGUUGUGGUUAUAAUUAUACCACACUACCAACACUAAAAUUUCGUUCCACUGGUGCAACGGCAAUGACAACGACAAAGACAGACAGAAGGUCUACUUACAAAAUGUAAUUGCAA